rnacentral:rRNA from 1 species
UGGGGAAUCUUGCACAAUGGGGGAAACCCUGAUGCAGCGACGCCGCGUGAGCGAUGAAGGUUUUCGAUUCUUAAAGCCCUGUCCUAUGGGAAGAUAAUGACGGUACCAUGGGAGGAAGCCCCGGCUAACUACGUGCCAGCAGCCGCGGUAAUACGUAGGGGGCGAGCGUUGUCCGGAAUUACUGGGCGUAAAGGGUUCGCAGGCGGCAUGGCAAGUCCGCUGUAAAAGGCGAAGGCUCCACCUUCGUAAGAAUCGGAAACUGUCAAGCUUGGGUGAAGGAGAGGCAAGUGGAAUUCCUAGUGUAGCGGUGGAAUGCGUAGAUAUUAGGAGGAAUACCGGUGGCAAGGGCGACGUGCUGGACUUCAACUGACGCUGAGGACAGAAAGCGUGGGUAGCAAACAGG